UAGUGUGUUCAUAGGGGAUCCAGAGUGUAUAUAGGGAUCUAGUGUGUGUAGAUGAUCCAGAGUUGGGUAAGGUAUCUAGUGUGUGCCUGGAAUGUAAUGUGUUUAGGGGUGCAGUGAGUGUGUGAGGGGUUCUGUAGUAUUGUGUGUGUGAGUGGAGCUGUGUGUGUGGGUGCUGAGAGUGUCCGGGGUGCAGUGUGUGUGAAUAUGUUUAGAG